rnacentral:lncRNA from 1 species
UACUAAAGUAGUCAGAUUGUGGAUUCAUCCAUAGGGGUAUUUUGCUUCUGCACCAAAGAACAUUUUUUGAGGAGUCUCGAAAGGUUAUGAAAAUACCCAUUAUCUUUAGUAACUUUCUAGUAACCUAUUACCUAUAUAUCUAGAAUUGCUUUCUUUCCUCAGGGUUGGCUCCUUGCGACGGACAGUGACAUAUGUAGGGUAGAAAGAGCACCAAAGGAUAAAAGGAUAUAGAUUUCCAUCCCCAGUUUUAUCUCAAGCUUUCUGCAGAUAAUGGGAAGCAGUCACCCAAGGCGCAUAAGCUAGGGGUGCUUGAAAUAGAGGUGAUAAUUGGGGUCAUGUGUUUAUUUGAAUAAAGAAGAAGUGAAGAGAAAAAUGCUCUGAUCUGGUGACUUCUGAUUUCCUCAGAAAAUAGACCUUCAGAAGGAAAAAGCAAGGAGAUAUCUAGACACACAUAGAAAAGAAAUGAUAAAGGUCUGCCUACAAGGAAGGCUACUAGUAACUAUAAUAAUAGGAACCAUUGACUUAGAACCUUCUGUUCCUGGUUUUCAUUCCCUUUUAAAAUCCUAAUUUGUGCUAAUCAGAAAAAGACUAUUUAGCAUCUAUUUAGGUGCUGAAAUUCUGUAGCUUCUCAUUUAUUUUCUGUAAAGUUAAGCUAUGCAG